rnacentral:rRNA from 1 species
GAGGCAGCAGUGGGGAAUUUUGCGCAAUGGGCGAAAGCCUGACGCAGCAACGCCGCGUGAGUGAUGAAGGCUUUCGGGUCGUAAAGCUCUGUCGAUGGGAAAGAAGUGUAAGGUGGUUAAUACCCGCUUUACUUGACGGUACCCAUAAAGGAAGCACCGGCUAACUCCGUGCCAGCAGCCGCGGUAAUACGGGGGGUGCAAGCGUUGUUCGGAAUUAUUGGGCGUAAAGCGCGUGUAGGCGGUUUGAUUAGUCUGAUGUGAAAGCCCUGGGCUCAACCCAGGAAGUGCAUUGGAAACUGUCAGACUUGAAUACGGGAGAGGGUAGUGGAAUUCCUAGUGUAGGAGUGAAAUCCGUAGAUAUUAGGAGGAACACCGGUGGCGAAGGCGGCUACCUGGACCGAUAUUGACGCUGAGACGCGAAAGCGUGGGUAGCAAACAGGAUUAGAUACCCUGGUAGUCCACGCCGUAAACGAUGAGUACUAGGUGUUGCGGGUAUUGACCCCUGCAGUGCCGCAGCUAACGCAUUAAGUACUCCGCCUGGGAAGUACGGUCGCAAGACUAAAACUCAAAGGAAUUGACGGA